rnacentral:rRNA from 1 species
UACGUAGGGUGCAAGCGUUAAUCGGAAUUACUGGGCGUAAAGCGUGCGCAGGCGGCUUUGCAAGACAGAUGUGAAAUCCCCGGGCUAACCUGGGAACUGCAUUUGUGACUGCAUGGCUAGAGUGCGGCAGAGGGGGAUGGAAUUCCGCGGUGUAGCAGUGAAAUGCGUAGAUAUGCGGAGGAACACCGAUGGCGAAGGCAAUCCCCGUGGGCCU